CCGGUAGUUCAGUUGGUUAGAACGCUAGCCUGUCACGCUAGAGGUCGUGGGUUCGAGCCCCAUUC
rnacentral:tRNA from 1 species